rnacentral:rRNA from 1 species
AAACUUAAAUGAAUUUGACGGGGGCCCGCACAAGCAGUGGAUUAUGUGGUUUAAUUCGAAGCAACGCGAAGAACCUUACCAGGGUUUGACAUCCAACUAACGAAGCAGAGAUGCAUUAGGUGCCCUUCGGGGAAAGUUGAGACAGGUGGUGCAUGGUUGUCGUCAGCUCGUGUCGUGAGAUGUUGGGUUAAGUCCCGCAACGAGCGCAACCCUUAUUGCUAGUUGCUACGCAAGAGCACUCUAGCGAGACUGCCGUUGACAAAACGGAGGAAGGUGGGGACGACGUCAAAUCAUCAUGCCCCUUAUAUCCUGGGCUACACACGUAAUACAAUGGCGCUUAACAGAGGGAUGCGAAGCCGCGAGGUGGAGCGAAUCCCCAAAAGACGUCUCACGUUCGGAUUGCAGGCUGCAACUCGCCUGCAUGAAGUCGGAAUUGCUAGUAAUCGCGGAUCAGCAUGCCGCG